rnacentral:rRNA from 1 species
AUUGAACGCUGGCGGCAUGCCUUACACAUGCAAGUCGAACGGCAGCACGGGUGCUUGCACCUGGUGGCGAGUGGCGAACGGGUGAGUAAUACAUCGGAACGUACCUUAUCGUGGGGGAUAACGCAGCGAAAGCUGUGCUAAUACCGCAUACGCCCUGAGGGGGAAAGCGGGGGAUCGAAAGACCUCGCGCGACUAGAGCGGCCGAUGCCUGAUUAGCUUGUUGGUGGGGUAAAAGCCCACCAAGGCGACGAUCAGUAGCUGGUCUGAGAGGACGAUCAGCCACACUGGGACUGAGACACGGCCCAGAAUCCUACGGGAGGCAGCAGUGGGGAAUUUUGGACAAUGGGGGCAACCCUGAUCCAGCAAUGCCGCGUGGGUGAAGAAGGCCUUCGGGUUGUAAAACUCUUUUGUCGGGGAAGAAACACCGGCUCUAACACAGUCCGGGAAUGACGGUACCGGAAGAAUAAGCACCGGCUAACUACGUGCCAGCAGCCGCAGUAA